rnacentral:tRNA from 1 species
GGGCACUUUGCACAAGGGCAGCGCGUACCAUUCGCAAUGGGUGAGGGCGUGGGUUCAAUUCCUACAGUGUCCG